AGAGCGAACGCUGGCGGCAGGCCUAAUACAUGCAAGUCGAACGGAUCCUUCGGGAUUAGUGGCGGACGGGUGAGUAACACGUGGGAACGUGCCCUUUGGUUCGGAACAACUCAGGGAAACUUGAGCUAAUACCGGAUGUGCCCUUCGGGGGAAAGAUUUAUCGCCAUUGGAGCGGCCCGCGUCUGAUUAGCUAGUUGGUGAGGUAAAGGCUCACCAAGGCUUCGAUCAGUAGCUGGUCUGAGAGGAUGAUCAGCCACACUGGGACUGAGACACGGCCCAGACUCCUACGGGAGGCAGCAGUAGGGAAUCUUGCGCAAUGGGCGAAAGCCUGACGCAGCCAUGCCGCGUGAAUGAUGAAGGUCUUAGGAUUGUAAAAUUCUUUCAGCGGGGACGAUAAUGACGGUACCCGCAGAAGAAGCCCGGCUAACUUCGCGCCAGCAGCCGC
rnacentral:rRNA from 1 species